rnacentral:rRNA from 1 species
CAGCAAUGCCGCGUGAGUGAUGAAGGCCUUAGGGUUGUAAAGCUCUUUUACCCGAGAUGAUAAUGACAGUAUCGGGAGAAUAAGCCCCGGCUAACUCCGUGCCAGCAGCCGCGGUAAUACGGAGGGGGCUAGCGUUGUUCGGAAUUACUGGGCGUAAAGGCACGUAGGCGGUUAUUCCAGUCAGAGGUGAAAGCCCAGUGCUCAACACUGGAACUGCCUUUGAAACUAGAUAGCUUGAAUCCAGGAGAGGUGAGUGGAAUUCCGAGUGUAGAGGUGAAAUUCGUAGAUAUUCGGAAGAACACCAGUGGCGAA